AAACAGGGGAUCUCCCUUCCCUUUUUCAAUGGACUAGCACAGGACCUGCCCACAGAGGCCCUAACUCAGUGCUCUCUGAAUGAAUGGAUGAAUGGGUACAGGGAAUAUCACUGAGGCUCAGAGAGGUAAAAUUAAUUUGGCUGAAGUCAAACUGAACAAUGAGGGCACUGUGGCUCAAACUCACAUCACUGGAAUUCCAAGUAUAUGUACCUGACGUUACAUAAUAUUGUCUCUGUGGAAUGCUUUGAGGAAAGGAACCUAAGAUUUUGGAACUCUGAGACUAUGCUGAAUCUGCUAAAAUUUUGAGAUGCUCUCUGUUCUGGAGGUGACACGGGGUGACAGUGGUGCUCCAUAUUCCUGAAGACACCUGGAAAUAUUGUGGGACGUGCCCUGAGUUGACAUCAGGCAGGUCCUACCUUCCUGAUUGGCCCCUGUUGGUGCUUGAAGAGCCCACUGAAACAACAGACUGAGCAAAGACUUUUAAACGCUGCACGUGGAAUCUACCUCAAAGAAUAUCUAGUUCAAACUGGUCAUUUUGCAGAUGAGAAAACUGAGGUCCAGGACCAUGAAGAGUUAACAGAGGAUUAACACUAAGGCUCUGUCCCCUGAUUUCCAUCCCAGUGGUCUCUUUCCAGCACACAGGCUGUGCCACAGAUUUUAUAGGCAUCUGGAAUUUUGCUGGCAGGGUUACUUCUAAGAAAUCUUUCGGUGGAAUCUCUUUAAGUGGCCCCUGGAAUGUAAGCACUAUGGGCAGUCUGUAGUGACCCAGAGCUCCAAAACAGAGUUUCUAAACAGGCAUGGCAGCAAAUCCCAGCAACAUCAGGCAGAUGCUUUAGACAUUUAAGGAUCUGCAGAUACUGCAGAAUCCCUCAGUUGUGUGGUCAGCACAUUACAACUCACAUAACUGUAAAAUUUUGCUGCAAUAAAAAUUAUUUUUAUAAUAAAAAACAUACUGUUAUAAAAGUA
rnacentral:lncRNA from 1 species